GACGAACGCUGGCGGCGUGCUCAACACAUGCAAGUCGAACGGAAAGGCCCUGCUUUUGUGGGGUGCUCGAGUGGCGAACGGGUGAGUAACACGUGAGUAACCUGCCCUUGACUUUGGGAUAACUUCAGGAAACUGGGGCUAACACCGGAUAGGAGCUCCUGCUGCAUGGUGGGGGUUGGAAAGUUUCGGCGGUUGGGGAUGGACUCGCGGCUUAUCAGCUUGUUGGUGGGGUAGUGGCUUACCAAGGCUUUGACGGGUAGCCGGCCUGAGAGGGUGACCGGCCACAUUGGGACUGGGAUACGGCCCAGACUCCUACGGGAGGCAGCAGUGGGGAAUAUUGCACAAUGGGCGGAAGCCUGAUGCAGCAACGCCGCGUGCGGGAUGACGGCCUUCGGGUUGUAAACCGCUUUCGCCUGUGACGAAGCGUGAGUGACGGUAAUGGGUAAAGAAGCACCAGCUAACUACGUG
rnacentral:rRNA from 1 species